CAGGGCAUACAGUCAAAGAAAGCGGCGGGGAACUAGGAAGAGUUUGAAGAUGAUUUUUCAAGCUUUAACUUGACACCCAAGAAAGAAGGUGGGCAGGAACGAAGAAAGAGAUUCGAAUUUGAGACCAUCCCACACGACAGCUACAGGAUGCUAUAGACCAGG